AUCAUGGCUCAGAUUGAACGCUGGCGGCAGGCCUAACACAUGCAAGUCGAGCGGUAACAGGAGAAAGCUUGCUUUCUUGCUGACGAGCGGCGGACGGGUGAGUAAUGUAUGGGGAUCUGCCCGAUAGAGGGGGAUAACUACUGGAAACGGUGGCUAAUACCGCAUAAUGUCUACGGACCAAAGCAGGGGCUCUUCGGACCUUGCACUAUCGGAUGAACCCAUAUGGGAUUAGCUAGUAGGUGGGGUAAAGGCUCACCUAGGCGACGAUCUCUAGCUGGUCUGAGAGGAUGAUCAGCCACACUGGGACUGAGACACGGCCCAGACUCCUACGGGAGGCAGCAGUGGGGAAUAUUGCACAAUGGGCGCAAGCCUGAUGCAGCCAUGCCGCGUGUAUGAAGAAGGCCUUAGGGUUGUAAAGUACUUUCAGCGGGGAGGAA
rnacentral:rRNA from 1 species